CGGGUCCUUCAACACCUGCCGAGAGACGGUUUCCAUCUACCCCUCCGGCUUCUUCUACACGCGAGGAAGGCAUAGGACCGCUGGAUGCUACCGCGGGUCCUUCAACACCUGCCGAGAGACGGUUUCCAUCUACCCCUCCGGCUUCUUCUACACGUGAGGAAGGCAUAGGACCGCUGGAUGCUACCGCGGGUCCUUCAACACCUGCCGAGAGACGGUUUCCAUCUACCCCUCCGGCUUCUUCUACACGUG